AAUCUAACUCCAGUGAAAAUGUAUGCAUGAAUUACUUACACAAGGAACAAGCUUGAUCUGCAUUUAUUUGUUUGCUGAUUUAUCAUUUUAAUAGUCUAACUGGUGUUUUGGCUGAUAAAAUUGGUCACCAUGAAUAAUUGAAACAAAACUUGUUAUGAUAGAAACUAUGAAGUAUUAGGUAGAAUAUGUAUCGUUAUAAUCAUAUGUGUUAGGUAGAAUAUGUAUCUUUAUAAUCAGAUUAUAAAAGAGAAGAUAGUUAAGAAAGAGCUUAUUAAUUGAAUGAAAUUUUGAUUUAAUUGAAAAUGAUGUUGUUACUUAGUUUAUGUUCUUUUUGCUAUUAGCACGGCACCUUGCAAGGCAUACUUAACAGACGGACUGUAUCAUGACUUCCAGUCCCUGCCUCUUUGCCAUCCUAAACUGUUGCAUUUCCUUUCACUUUUUUGGUAAACUGCAAAUUAACUGUUUGGUCUUUCUAAAUUUUUAUGAUACAAGGAAUUAUUAAUGGCUACUGAUAUCAGCAUGUUAGGAAUGGCUGAUGGAUUAAAUAAGUGUUUGUAAAAUUAUUAACAGUUGGAUAUACUGGGUAGUAAAAUAUUUAUGUGCUUGCAAGUUAGUUUUUCUUUAAAGUAAUUACUGCAUGAGUGGAAGUAAAUGCAUAAAAUGAGAUGGG
rnacentral:misc_RNA from 1 species